GUUGAACUGUAAACUCUGAGCAGCUAAGCACCCUCAACUUGUGCGCAGAUAUUUCUCUGAGGCAGGCUGACAGGCAACAGUUGAUGACUGGCCAGCACCGAGCGACAAACUAUAUCAAGGCCAUUAAUUCAAAUUGGGGAUUAUGAGCAUAGCAGCAACAGCAACAGCCACAAAAGCAGUAACAUCAACUAAUGAAAGCUUACCACGCCGAUGUAUGACAAAUCAAAGAAAACCUGGAGUCAGCGGCUCAAAAUUAGCAGCGAUAAUAAGAACUCAUCUCUAACUACUGCCGGCAGCAUGCAGACGAUGCAAAUGCAACAGCUGCAAC
rnacentral:sRNA from 1 species